AACAAAGUUGCAGGUUCUCAGUCUCCUUUUCUCUUUCUUUGCCAACUCUUUUUUUUUUUUUUUCUCCUUUUCUUUUCCCUUCCUCAAUAUAAAUACCCUGGGGCAGUUUCUUUUCUUUUUGGUAUGAAUGUGAUGAUCUUUCAGGCCUGCGAUUGGCUCUGCGGCUUGUCAUCGGGGACACACCUCCUGGCGAGGGGCCACCGCCUCCCCCCUCUUGUGAAAGCUUCCCCUUGUAACAAGUGAGCGUAAUUACAUCAGUUACUCACUAGAGCACAGACCUGCUUUAAAUUUUGGCCUCUGAGCCUGUGAGAAGCUGAAGGACUAGAAAAUGCGGUUUCAAAGGCCUGUAACACUCUGGAGCGUGCAACUCAAGCUGGGCUUUUCCCUCCCAGGAAUGAAGACUCCCAGUCACAUGUGAGGAGGAAUGAAUAUCCCUACCAGCCACUGAAAUGGCUAAGAGAGCAGAACUGCUGCACCAGAAGAGGAUUUCCACUUUGCCAGAGCCUGGCCCACUGAAAAAAAAAAUGCAUAACUGAUCCCCUUUGCUUCUAGAGGUACUGGGAAGGAAGAUUGCUGAGUGAAUUGCAGGGGGUGUGGGCGAUCUCUGCAAAAGAGCAGAGCCAGCUAAAAAAAGGCAUCUGCUACCAAAAGAAAAUGUAUUUCACCCAGCAGCCAGGGCCUGCAAGAUAGGGCCAGACAUAUCAGGGGAAGAGCCCUGAAGAGCAGUAUUUAUGUGCUGGGUGCACAGGACAGUAGCAGUUUGACACCUAUCUGAUGGGUUGGAAUGGGAACUUAGAGUGCUUCUGUGGGCUUGUUCCAGAAGGGGCUGAGUGCGAGUGAAAGCAUUCUACUCAUGCUCCAGAUGGAGGGUUCUCCACUGGGUAAAUCACUGUAGCACAUAGGAAGCCAGUGCUGUCCCAGCUGAAACCCUGCUCCACACUGCCAUGGCGGAGUGUGGCCACUAAAGAGUUCUGAGUGGAGGAGAGAACUCAACUCUUGUCCCAGGACAUUUGGUCCUUGAGGAACACAGCCCUGAUGUAUGUCAAAGAUGCUACUGCUGCUUGGUGAACUGGAAGGAUGAAGAUGAGGUGCAGACCAUUUGUCUGACUAAAGCUGAGUCCUCACAUACAGGCAUUUACCUAGUGUCAGAACUGCUGCUGUUCUGACACGAGAAGAACCUGAGCCUUUUCAGACACGUCUUGCAGAAAUUAUACAAAGGAGAGAUACCUUUCUCCUCUUGCCUCUAGCUAUUAUCUAGCACAUACGUGUUUGCUGAGACCAAACAACUGAACAGAUUCAGCCCUGGUCUAGAUCAGGCAGAGCGAACCUUGCUCUCUCAUCUCACAUUGCUUUAGUGGACUGACUGGAACCUUUGUUCCAUGUCUCUGUCCUCCAGUUCUCCACCUUCCUCCAAAAUAAAAAUAACCACCUGCUUCCUACACUGCAUCUGGGCUUACCAUCGGAACUGAUGUAACCCUAUGAAAAAUGUAGGUUUUGUUGAGACAGCAUUUUCCCAUGGAAGAAGAAGAUCCUUUGUUUCUCUCAUUAGCUCUCAAAGCAACUGGCUCAAUGACAUGCUGUCUGUAUUUUUCUCCCAGGGACCUGUUCAUGGAGCUGCCAGGAAGCUUCCUAGGUCAUGGUCCAUUCAAAAGCUGCCAGGAGUUGCAGGAUGGUGCAGGUCUGAUGGUCUGAAAAUCAGCAAAGAGCACUAAUUCAUUAUGACAGCCUUGGAAAUAUGACAAAUAAUGUUAGGUGCUUUCCAUGGUACCAACAGUUCUCUAUAUCAUUUUUUGUGAGACUGGGAUUGGAGUCCCCAAAACUGAGUGUACCCUCUCUGAGAUGUGCUUCAGGGUGCCUGACAUCUCUGCAAGCCAGGACUUCCCUACCCCAUGCAUCCUAUGGACUGGAGAGCUGAGAUAGAGUGAACAAUGUUUAAGGUCUGGAUAUCUGGCACAGAGCGAGCAAGCAGAACAGUGGGAGGUUGUGGUGCCAGGGACAGGUGUAUCAGCAGGCCACAGAGCAUUUCUACAUUGCCAGAUGUUCUAUCCACCUCUGCCCUGACCUCUGGGCUGGGGUGGGAGUGUUUGCUCCCAGCUUUGCUCUGCAGGAUGUCAAAGAACAUUUACUUGCUUCCCAUGCCUGUAAACAUCUACCAAUUCACCUUUCUUAUAUAUGCUUUUCAGGUAAGAUCAAGCUUUCAUUCUUUCUAUUACUAUUCCCCCUGACGUUCUCUGCAAGCAAGCUAUUGGCAAGUGAUGAAAUUCUCUACAUACAGACUGAAAUGUAGGGACCGCAUGGACAAAAUAAUAAUGCUAGUCAUAAUAAAUAACAGCCCCAUUCGCUUUACUCUGCAGCUCGCAAAACAACAGCCCAGUUCAAAUUCUCAUCUGCUGUGAGAUAAAAAGUGUGAUUUACUCUGUCGGCUAUGGAGAGCAGACACGCACGGGGCAGUUAUCUCUGGCCAUAAACAAACUGGAGUGGCUUUGCCUUUUAACAGGCUCCCUUCUCCUCUCCUGUGGAGUGCUACUUUCCGCCUUACGUAACCCUCUGGGCAACUCCACUGACCUAUUUUGUUUUAAUAAACUUGAGCAGUUGGAGUUAUGCACCCUCCACUUCUCAGAUGCCAUUGCCACUCCACAGGGCUCCCUUUCCUGCCCUGCUCCACAAGGCUGUGUAGGUGAUGUCUUGGGAGAAGUUAAAUAAACGGCUUCCAUGUUCUGACACAGCCCGUAUGUGCCAAGCUUCCCUUUUGACUGUUAGCCUUGGAGAAGAGAAGGAAAAACCGAGUUGUCGAGGAAAAAGCAUAACCUUUCAGAAACAGUUUUUUAUUACCUUCCUUAUCGCUCCUUUAAGGUCAUAAAGAUUGUACCAAAGAAACUAUUAAGUUUUCCAGGAUUGCAAAAUAUUUUAUCGAUGAUGCACAUGAGGUAUGCUGUUCCACUUUUCAAUUUUUUUUUGGCAUUAAAUUUCCUUUUAUGUUCAGGGAUUUGAUCUUAAUGUUCCCUCCGUACCUUUCUGUUUCCAUCCUGCUUGGAGGCAGUCAGACAUGGUUAAUGGUUUCUUCUAGCCAGGAGCCUAGAGUGAGCUGCAAAUAGAAGACCUUGCAGGCAUUAAAAAACAAACCAACAGUGAACAUGGGAUCUAGAACUGUGGGCACCAUGAUUUCUUGAGAGGCCGAGCAGCUGGCAUUGCCUCCCUCGUGGGUCUUAAUGUGGGAAUUGACUUCAGGAGAGCAGUGACUGGCUGUUUUUUCAGCACUGGUUUUCUGUAGUACCUCAUCUGCUUAAGUUCAUUUAGGAUAUAUUCUUCCACCAAAAAAUAUAACUAAAAUUUAUUCUUUUGCUGAAAAACAUCUGUGAAAACCUAACACUGUAAUACUUCUAAUGGUUUAAUGCUGGGGUCUGCGCUGAGAUGGCCGCAUACUGUUGUAUCCACCAGGUUAUCCUGGGAAACAGCUAGGGUUCAAAUGCAGCAGGAGGCCAUCUGAGAUUCUCUUCCCCACAUGCUACAGUGGAGGAGCAGAUUAGUGUCCUGCUCAUAAUGAGUCCCUUACAAAUCCCAUUCUGGAAAAGGAUAUCCAGAGCUUUGGGAGAAACUCUGCAAAGAGUCUCAUGAGAGGCCCAAUUCUUCACACUGGGAAGUGUUGUGGGUGGACUGCAAAGCUCUACUGAAUAUUGAGUUAAUCCAAGAUUUACAUGCCAUAAGCCUGCAGAAAUUGGGCUGUGGUGGGCUUUAGCUAAAGCAGUGUUAGCUAACCUCUUAAGAAACCCAGUUUUUCUCUCCCGUGCAGUCUUUCCACUGGGUCUUGUUUUCCAGGUCCUGAUCUUCAGCUGGCAGAACACAGCUUCAUCCCAUUGAAAAGCCAGUGAAGCAGAUAGGAAGAUCUUACCCCAACACAAUUCUGCUUCCUGAUUACAUGCAUGUUUCCACCAGGCAAGACAAUAAACCAAGCACUAGCAAUGGAAGAGUAGCAGACAGGUGACUGGCACAAAGAUCCUCCAUUCAUGUCUCCUGUAGCAUUUACUAUAAACAGAGGCCAGAGCAAGGAGAUGAGACUCUUUGGUGAAGUGAUGUUGGCAUGAAGAAGAGGGGAGUCUUAAGUCAAGCUGAGUUGCAGGGGAAAGCUUUUAUCACGGAAGUGCCAAGUAUAAAUCACUAUAAGAGAUUCCUCAGUCAAGACACUUUGGAAACAGGACAGUAAUGCCAACUGAAAAUAUAACAGAGCAAUAUUAUGACCAUGCAGAUCAUGAUGUGCCAACCUUUUCAUAGUGUCCCACAUGGAGAAGCUUCCCUUUUCCUACAGGAUUGGACCUCCUGCCUGGGGUGGGGAGAGUGGUUGGGAGCAUGGGAUCUGUGAGUGCAGGUGCCUCGCCAAUCUGUGCAGGUAUCUCAGCGUCGAUUUAGGCUAUGCUGAUAUUUUCCAGGUUCUUUCUCCUGUAACACAACAGUAUGGAAAGACUUCCCCCGUGACUGUAACACGAAAAACAGAUGAAGGAGGGAACUGCUGGGGGAGCUUAUAAUUCCCAACUGGAAACAUAGUCUCUUGGAUAGUGCCUUGUGAUGCUGAAGGCACCCCCAGUCUCUUAACGGCAGCUUAAAGAAGUCUGAUCCCUGGGCAGGAAGAAAAUGAAAAUUAAAUGUGAAGCAACAGCAAUCUGUAUCGGGGAAUGAAUUUUGGUAUAUUUGAUAAAGAGCUUCUUUUUGUUUUGUUUGAAGUAUCGAAUAACACGUGCUUCCUGCCAGAGCAUUUCACAAAGUUGAACCAAACCACUGCCUAAGCAUCUGGAACUAAAGCUUGGAUGGAUGAGGUUUUAUGCACCUGGAGUUUCACUUCUAGCUCUGUGAAAUUGAAGCUAAACCUCCCUGGACUCAGAGCUCUUUCCCAUCGGUCUGCCAGGA